AGUGAACGCUGGCGGUAGGCCUAACACAUGCAAGUCGAACGGCAGCACAGUAAGAGCUUGCUCUUACGGGUGGCGAGUGGCGGACGGGUGAGGAAUACAUCGGAAUCUACUUUUUCGUGGGGGAUAACGUAGGGAAACUUACGCUAAUACCGCAUACGACCUACGGGUGAAAGCAGGGGAUCUUCGGACCUUGCGCGGUUGAAUGAGCCGAUGUCGGAUUAGCUAGUUGGCGGGGUAAAGGCCCACCAAGGCGGCGAUCCGUAGCUGGUCUGAGAGGAUGAUCAGCCACACUGGAACUGAGACACGGUCCAGACUCCUACGGGAGGCAGCAGUGGGGAAUAUUGGACAAUGGGCGCAAGCCUGAUCCAGCCAUACCGCGUGGGUGAAGAAGGCCUUCGGGUUGUAAAGCCCUUUUGUUGGGAAAGAAAAGCAGCAGGUUAAUACCCCGCUGUUCUGACGGUACCCAAAGAAUAAGCACCGGCUAACUUCGUG
rnacentral:rRNA from 1 species